UACGGGGGGGGGCUAGCGUUGCUCGGAAUUACUGGGCGUAAAGCGCACGUAGGCGGCUUUCUAAGUCGGGGGUGAAAUCCUGGAGCUCAACUCCAGAACUGCCUUCGAUACUGGAAAGCUCGAGUCCGGGAGAGGUGAGUGGAACUGCGAGUGUAGAGGUGAAAUUCGUAGAUAUUCGGAGGAACACCAGUGGCGAAGGCGGCUCACUGGUCCAUUACUGACGCUGAGGUGCGAAAGCGUGGGGAGCAAACAGG
rnacentral:rRNA from 1 species